UCCUGACUGACCGAUAGUGAACCAGUACCGUGAGGGAAAGGCGAAAAGAACCCCGGCGAGGGGAGUGAAAUAGAACCUGAAACCGUGUACGUACAAGCAGUGGGAGCACCUUCGUGGUGUGACUGCGUACCUUUUGUAUAAUGGGUCAGCGACUUAUAUUUUGUAGCAAGGUUAACCGUAUAGGGGAGCCGUAGGGAAACCGAGUCUUAACUGGGCGAUUAGUUGCAAGGUAUAGACCCGAAACCCGGUGAUCUAGCCAUGGGCAGGUUGAAGGUUGGGUAACACUAACUGGAGGACCGAACCGACUAAUGUUGAAAAAUUAGCGGAUGACUUGUGGCUGGGGGUGAAAGGCCAAUCAAACCGGGAGAUAGCUGGUUCUCCCCGAAAGCUAUUUAGGUAGCGCCUCGUGAACUCAUCUUCGGGGGUAGAGCACUGUUUCGGCUAGGGGGCCAUCCCGGCUUACCAAACCGAUGCAAACUCCGAAUACCGAAGAAUGUUAUCACGGGAGACACACGGCGGGUGCUAACGUCCGUCGUGAAGAGGGAAACAACCCAGACCGCCAGCUAAGGUCCCAAAGUCAUGGUUAAGUGGGAAACGAUGUGGGAAGGCAUAGACAGCCAGGAUGUUGGCUUAGAAGCAGCCAUCAUUUAAAGAAAGCGUAAUAGCUCACUGGUCGAGUCGGCCUGCGCGGAAGAUGUAACGGGGCUAAACCAUGCACCGAAGCUGCGGCAGCGACGCUUAGGCGUUGUUGGGUAGGGGAGCGUUCUGUAAGCCGUUGAAGGUGGCCUGUGA
rnacentral:ncRNA from 1 species